rnacentral:lncRNA from 1 species
AAAACGCGACUCUUGGAGGAUCGCUCGGGCUCAAUGAAGUAAUAAGAAAGGCGGUGGAGCGCGGCUGGGCCCGCGCCAGGGGGGAGGGGGAGAGCCCCGCUCCGGUCCCGAGGAGAGGAGGAAGAGCGGCGGAUGGUUGCUGCGCGAGUUCUCGCUCUUGGUGAAAAAAUCUCUCUUCUCUGGAAAUUCAUUUCCAUUUACUUAAAGUUAAAUGGUUUGACUUUGAAUUUUCAUUAUCUGCUGUUGGAAGGAGCCUGUGACAGCUCAGAAGAAUUCUGUAAUCAUGGAACCAUUAGAGUGGAAAGCACAGAUAAUGAACGUCCCAUCAACACCACGCCAAGGCACACAACCCAACUUAGUUGGUGUAUAGGGUAAGAAAAUACAGGAAACCUGGCCAACAAAUGACUUAAAAAUCCAAGUCAGCUGAUGCAGAUUAGUUUAAGCAGUCUCAAACCUAUCCUCCAAAACUGCAGGUGGGCAAUGAUGAGGAAAAAGAAAAGCAAAAUGUUUAAAUGCCCUGUCUCCUUCAAGCAUAAUAGAUGAAUUUUCUCAUUUUGCAUUAGCUGCAGGAAG